AUGAACGCUAGCGGCAGGCAUAAUACAUGCAAGUUGAACGGCAGCACAGGUAGCAAUACUGGGUGGCGAGUGGCGCACGGGUGCGUAACACGUAUGCAACCUACCCUAUACAGGCGAAUAACCUUUAGAAAUGAGGGCUAAUACGCCGUAGUAUUACAGAUGGGCAUCUAUUUGUAAUUAAAGAUUUAUCGGUAUAGGAUGGGCAUGCGUCCCAUUAGUUAGUUGGUAAGGUAACGGCUUACCAAGACGAUGAUGGGUAGGGG
rnacentral:rRNA from 1 species